GUUUGGAUAUUCUCAGACAGUAAAGAAUCUGCCUGCAAUGCAGGAGACCUGGGUUCAAUCCCUGGUCCGGAAG
rnacentral:tRNA from 1 species